rnacentral:rRNA from 1 species
AACGCGAAGAACCUUACCUGGGUUGAACUACGCAGGAAAAGCCGUAGAGAUACGGUGUCCUUCGGGGCCUGUGAUAGGUGGUGCAUGGCUGUCGUCAGCUCGUGUCGUGAGAUGUUGGGUUAAGUCCCGCAACGAGCGCAACCCUCGUCCUAUGUUGCCAGCGGGUAAUGCCGGGGACUCGUAGGAGACUGCCGGGGUCAACUCGGAGGAAGGUGGGGAUGACGUCAAGUCAUCAUGCCCCUUACGUCCAGGGCUGCAAACAUGCUACAAUGGCCGGUACAAAGGGCUGCUAUCCCGCGAGGGUGAGCGAAUCCCAAAAAGCCGGUCUCAGUUCGGAUUGGAGUCUGCAACUCGACUCCAUGAAGUCGGAGUCGCUAGUAAUCCCGGAUCAGCAACGCCGGGGUGAAUACGUUCCCGGGCCUUGUACACACCGUAGUAC